GAUGAACGCUGGCGGCGUGCCUAAUACAUGCAAGUCGAGCGAACAGACGAGGAGCUUGCUCCUCUGACGUUAGCGGCGGACGGGUGAGUAACACGUGGAUAACCUACCUAUAAGACUGGGAUAACUUCGGGAAACCGGAGCUAAUACCGGGUAAUAUAUUGAACCGCAUGGUUCAAUAGUGAAAGACGGUUUUGCUGUCACUUAUAGAUGGAUCCGCGCCGCAUUAGCUAGUUGGUAAGGUAACGGCUUACCAAGGCAACGAUGCGUAGCCGACCGGAGAGGGGGGGGUGCCGGCCUGGGAGGGGGACCAGCCCCACGGCGCCUGGGGAGGGGGCCAGGCGCCUACGUGCGGCAGCGGUGGGGAACAUUGCGGAAGGGGCGCAAGUGAGAUGGAGCGUCGUCGCGUGCGAGAGGACGUUCUUCGGGGUGUAAACAUAUUUGAAUAGGGCAGAACCGAGUGUGACGGUACCUGAAGAAGAAGCGCCGGCUAACUACGUG
rnacentral:rRNA from 1 species